ACGAACGCUGGCGGCGUGCUUAACACAUGCACGUCGAACGGAAAGGCCCUGCUUUUGUGGGGUGCUCGAGUGGCGAACGGGUGAGUAACACGUGAGUAACCUGCCCUUGACUUUGGGAUAACUUCAGGAAACUGGGGCUAAUACCGGAUAGGAGCUCCUGCUGCAUGGUGGUGGUUGGAAAGUUUCGGCGGUUGGGGAUGGACUCGCGGCUUAUCAGCUUGUUGGUGGGGUAGUGGCUUACCAAGGCUUUGACGGGUAGCCGGCCUGAGAGGGUGACCGGCCACAUUGGGACUGAGAUACGGCCCAGACUCCUACGGGAGGCAGCAGUGGGGAAUAUUGCACAAUGGGCGGAAGCCUGAUGCAGCAACGCCGCGUGCGGGAUGACGGCCUUCGGGUUGUAAACCGCUUUCGCCUGUGACGAAGCGUGAGUGACGGUAAUGGGUAAAGAAGCACCGGCUAACUACGUG
rnacentral:rRNA from 1 species